AUUAAAUAAGUGCAAUUAAAAAACAAGUUAUCCUUCAAUAAAUUAUACAUGUUCAUUGUCAGAAGGCGACAAUGAACAAAUCAUUUAUCCAAUAAAAAUGUGUUCAGGUAAUGUGAUGAGUUCUCGUACAAUUCAAGAUGGCGUAACUUAUCCGAUAUAAGAAUUUUAUUUAUUUCCGACGGAACUAGGCAGCUAAAUGCGGAAAAAUGAGUUCCCGAAGGUGGUUUUGGCCCUCGAUCAACGGCAUAGAAGCCGAAAAAUUGCUCUUAGAAAGAGGUGUCGAUUGCAGUUUUUUGGCGCGACCCAGUUUCUCUAGUCCGGGAGACUUUACACUUUCCGUCAGGAGAAAUGGGAAAGUGACACACAUUAAGAUCCAAAAUUCAGGAGACUUUUAUGACUUGUAUGGGGGUGAGAAAUUUGCUACACUGUCUGAAUUGGUGCAGUAUUAUAUGGAUAAGCAGGGACAGUUGAAGGAAAAGAAUGGAGAAGUGAUCGAACUCAAGUAUCCUUUGAAUUGUGCUGACACCACCAGGGAACGAUGGUUCCACGGACAUUUGUCUGGAAAAGAAGCGGAAAAACUGUUACUUCUAGAUAGAGGAAAAAAUGGAAGCUUUUUAGUCAGAGAGAGUCAAUCCAAACCAGGUGAUUACGUACUCUCUGUGCGGACCGACGACAAAGUAACCCACGUUAUGAUUAGGUGUACACCAGAUAACAAAUACGACGUUGGGGGAGGAGAAAAAUUCAACACACUUGCGGAUCUCAUAGACCAUUACAAGAAGAAUCCGAUGGUUGAAACAUCCGGAACGGUCGUCCAUCUGAAACAGCCCUUCAACGCCACCAGAAUUAAUGCCUCCGGCAUAGAUUAUAGAGUUACGCAGUUGCAAAAUGAUAAGCAUGGCAAAGCGGGAUUCUGGGAAGAAUUCGAGUCGCUGCAACAACAGGAAGUUAGAAAUUUGUACAGCAGAGACGAGGGCAGUAAAAACGAAAACAGGCACAAAAAUCGAUAUAAAAACAUUUUACCUUUUGACGACACGAGGGUUAAACUGAAAGACGUCGACCCAAAAGAAUCAGGCGCAGACUACAUCAAUGCCAACUACAUUCGAUGGAAGGCAGACGAAACAACCGUCGACUUGGGCUCCGAUCCUAGCGGCAAGUUAUACAUAGCAACGCAAGGCUGUCUGCCCGGCACCAUCAACGACUUCUGGCAGAUGGUAUGGCAGGAAAAUUGCAGAGUAAUAGUCAUGACCACCAAAGAAAUUGAAAGGAGCAAGAAUAAAUGUGCGAGAUAUUGGCCCGAUUUGGACGACGUCAAAGACUACGGCAAAAUCAAGGUGAAAAACUUGUCCGAGACGCAGAGGCCACAUUACACGUUACGCGAAUUCUCGGUGUCAAUGGAAAACGACGAAACCGAAAGAAAAGUCUUCCAUUAUCAUUUUACGGCCUGGCCCGAUCACGGUGUGCCCUCCGAUCCAGGCUGUGUAUUAGAAUUCCUGCACGAAGUCAACAAAAAACAGGAAUGCCUACAAAUCGAACUGCCCGCUAACCAACCCCCCGGUGCCAUUUUGGUCCACUGCUCCGCCGGCAUCGGCCGAACGGGCACAUUCAUAGUUAUAGAUAUGAUAUUAGAUCAACUUAAAAAGAAUGGUCUGGAUUGUGAAAUUGAUAUUCAGCGAACAAUACAAAUGGUUCGAUCUCAACGUUCUGGAAUGGUACAGACUGAAGCCCAAUAUAAAUUUGUGUAUUUAGCUGUACAACAUCAUAUACAGGCUAUUCUAGACAGACUGAAGGCUGAUCAGAAAUCGAUGCAGUUCGGAAGAGAAUACACAAACAUCCGGUACAACAGCGAUUUUGGAAACGCGACGCUGCCAAAUCCUUCUACCAAUCCGACACCGUUUGGUAGCGUCCUGAGUUCGUCGCGGUGCAACAGCGUAUUCUUUCCCCCAUCGACCCCCAACAAUCUCACCACCAUACGAAGUCAAGAGGUCAGAAAACCACCUCGAGCCGUCUCCGAUUUACCACGGCUCAUACUAGACGUUGAGUGUAGUGUGUAGUGUUCGCUAGCUUAGAACAAAUGAGAAUAAACGUAAUUGACGACUUUGAACCCGCCGGGGUGGCCGACUGUUUCGCUUUACCACCUGCAGAAUUAAUGACCCCGACACUGUACGCAAACAUUCCGGGCAACUCGAACCCGGCAGUGGCACCGACGCCACCCCCGAGGAAACCCACGUGACGUAUGAGCCAUGCCUACCAACAAUCUAUUCCAAAAUUUACUGUGUGUACCUUCUAAAUGUGUUAAACGUAAACUGUGUUAAGAUGUUAAUCAUAGAAGAUGAUAGUAAUUAAUAUAUUUAAAAAUGAAAAUUGAAAAAUGGUGCUGAUGUAUCUGAGUCGGAAUCUCGGGCAAUUUCAAUAGGUGGUUCAAUUCCGCGUGGUUAGGCCUAUUGAAAAGUGAACUGAACUGAACUGAACUGAACUGAACUAAAUGUACAUUGUGUUAAGAGGAGAAAUCGCAAUAUAAAUGUUAUUAUAAUUACGCCGUAAAAUCCAAAUGAAUGGAAGAUUCUAUUGAAUUUUAUUUGAAAUUCUAAAUAAUUAUUACAUGGUUGUAGAGAGUUUAUUAAAUAAAUAUUACGUUUAAUAAAAACAAACAAUAGAUUCUUCAGAAGGUACUUUUAUGUGAAAUAUUUUAAUUAUACGCACAUCAACACUUUUAAUUUUAAGCUCCUGUUAUUAUAUAAAUAAUGUAUUUGUAAUAUUGCUGUGCACUAUUUUAAGUUGUGUUUAUAAUCGCUGUAAUAAUUUAAAAAGAAUUCCAUUAUUAUUAUUAUUAUUAUUAUUAUUAAUAUGUUGUUCACAGUUUAAUGUCAGUAUUUCCAAAGAACAAAAAUAAAACACUUUGUUAAACUUUGAACGACGCAUGGUGAUUUUAAAUUUCGUGAUUUGUUUUUAAGUAAAUUUUGUGUAUUUUUAUAUUUUUGCUAAAUUAUUUAUAUAUUUUGCACAUAUAUUGUAAGACUUGACAGGUUUUCAUUUAUUUGCGUUGCCUGUACGAAAUAUUUUAAAACUGACAAUAUUGUUAACGAUCGAGUGAAAUAUAUAUAUAUAUACAAUAUAUUGUACAAUUUCUAAAUGCCUUUUUUUCUUUGUAUGUCCAACAUGCAUUGGUGCUAAUAUUUUCGCUUAUUGGCAGUGUGAUUAUUAUACGCACAGAAUUGCAUUUCGUGUAAUGAUUUGUCACAUUUUGUUUAAAUUAAACGUUUAUGAAAUGGUUA